UACGUAGAAGGCUAACGUUAUCCGGAUUUACUGGGCGUAAAGCGGGUGUAGACGGUUUUCUAAGUCAGUUGUGAAAUCUCCUGACUCAAUCGGGAGGCUGCAAUUGAUACUGGAGAGCUUGAGGGCAUCAGAAGAAAGCGGAAGUCCCGGUGUAGCGGUGAAAUGCGUAGAUAUCGGGAGGAACACCAGUGGCGAAGGCGGCUUUCUAGGGUGCUCCUGACGUUGAGGCCCGAAAGUGUGGGGAGCGAAACGG
rnacentral:rRNA from 1 species